AGUGAACGCUGGCGGUAGGCCUAACACAUGCAAGUCGAACGGCAGCACAGUAAGAGCUUGCUCUUACGGGUGGCGAGUGGCGGACGGGUGAGGAAUACAUCGGAAUCUACUUUUUCGUGGGGGAUAACGUAGGGAAACUUACGCUAAUACCGCAUACGACCUACGGGUGAAAGCAUGGGAUCUUCGGACCUUGCGCGAUUGAAUGAGCCGAUGUCGGAUUAGCUAGUUGGCGGGGUAAAGGCCCACCAAGGCGACGAUCCGUAGCUGGUCUGAGAGGAUGGUCAGCCACACUGGAACUGAGACACGGUCCAGACUCCUACGGGAGGCAGCAGUGGGGAAUAUUGGACAAUGGGCGCAAGCCUGAUCCAGCCAUACCGCGUGGGUGAAGAAGGCCUUCGGGUUGUAAAGCCCUUUUGUUGGGAAAGAAAAGCAGCAGGUUAAUACCACGCUGUUCUGACGGUACUCAAAGAAUAAGCACCGGCUAACUUCGUG
rnacentral:rRNA from 1 species